GAUUCUGUCUCCAUUGCCCUGCCAGCCCCGCGAGGGGUCGGGCAGGGUCCGCUGGCCUCGCUGGCCGCUGAUGAAAUACCACUCACUACUCUCACUGACCCGGUGAGGCGGCGGAGGGGAGCCCAAAGGGGCUCUCGCUCCUGGCGCCAAGCGCCCGUCUGCACGCGGGGACGCGACCCGCCUGGGACAGUGCCAGGUGGGGAGUUUGACCUACGCCUGUCAAAUGGUAACGCAGGUGUCCUAAGGUGAGCUCAGGGAGGACAGAAACCUCCGGUGGAGCAAAACAGCAAAAGCUCUUGAUUUUCGGUUCGAAUACAGACCUUGAAAGCGGGGCCUCACAAUCUUGACCUUUUGUGUUUUAAGCAGGGGGUGUCAGAAAAGUUACC
rnacentral:ncRNA from 1 species